rnacentral:lncRNA from 1 species
UUGGCAUAUGCAUAUAGAGAGAUUUAAAGAAAGAUAUGACACAGCACAACCAUAACUUUACAGUCAAUCCAACCAACAGUUUUGAUACAAAAGAUCCCUGUUGUUAAAAUACACAUUAUUUUAAUGAUAUAAGUAGUCAUAACACCAUGAUUGCUGUUACCGGUUAAUGAGGAAUAGAGCAUAUGGAGAUUUUAUAGGGGUGAAGUACUAUGGAAAAAUUAUAUGAAUACAUCACUCAAUCUAUAUCUAUGUAAUGCUUAUCUAUGUUAGUUUUAAAUGGAAACUAGGAGUUUCCCCAAUUAGCUGAAGACCACAGCCUACAAACUCUCACACUUGAGAUAACUUAUGUGAGGGAUGAUGAUGUAAAGUGUUCGACAAAAAGAGAACUCAUUGUUUUCUUUGUAGUGUUUUCCCCUUUUAUCAACAUAAGACAUCUCUUUGCGUUUCUUCUUUGUAAAAAUAUAUACAAAAAUUAUCAAGCAUGGCCAUUCAUCAAUGGCUAGUAAGCACAAUGUCAUAUCAUCGGAGACAUUAUUCAUGUUGAAUCUUUCAUUUGUUUGUCAGUACUGGUUUACUUCAUGCAAAGUAGCAGCAACUGAUGGUGGCUGGCCUACAAAUAAGGUGCAUAGGUUUCUUUUCCGCUAACUUAUACUAAGCCUGUUGAGAAAGUUGGGGCAUAAAAGGAACAUCCAGUUAUCCCCCUUUAUUGUCAUGUUAUCACGCUUGCAACUACUAAUACCACCUGUUGGGUAUAAAAUACCCUCAGCCGAAGUUCUCGACAGGAUUGGCCCUCACGGGCUCCGUCCGCAACUUCUGCCGCAAGGAAGACUUCGCCCGGACUCCUACGGAAGCCGGGCUCCGUCACCGACUCCGACCGGUGGUAAGCUUCGCCCGGACUCCUACGGGAGCCGGGCCUCGUCCCCGACUCCGGCUGCAGACAAACUCCGCCCGGACUCCUACGGGAGACGAGCUCCGUCCACAACUUCUGCCGCAAGGAAGACUCCGUCCGGACUCCUACGGGAGCCGGGCUCCGUCACCAAACCCGACCGCCGGUAAGCUCCGUCCGGACUCCUACAGGAGCCGGACUUCGCUCCGACUUUGAUUGCAGGUAAGCUUCGCCCAGACUCCUACGGGAGCCGGGCCUCGUCCCCGACUUCGGCUGCAGACAAACUCCGCCCGGACUCCUACGGGAGACGGGCUCCGUCCACAACUUCUGCCGCAAGGAAGACUCCGCCCAGACUCCUACGGGAGCCGGGCUCCGUCACCAAACCCGACCGCCGAUAAGCUCCGUCCGGACUCCUACGGGAGCCGGACUUCGCCCCGACUUUGAUUGCAGGUAAGCUUCGCCCGGACUCCUACGGGAGCCGGGCUCCGUCNNNN